rnacentral:rRNA from 1 species
UACGGAGGGGGCUAGCGUUGUUCGGAAUUACUGGGCGUAAAGCGCGCGUAGGCGGACCUGCAAGUCGGGGGUGAAAGCCCGAGGCUCAACCUCGGAACUGCCUUCGAUACUGCGGGUCUCGAGUCCGGGAGAGGUGAGUGGAAUUCCUAGUGUAGAGGUGAAAUUCGUAGAUAUUCGGAAGAACACCAGUGGCGAAGGCGACUCACUGGACGACUGUUGACGCUGAGGUGCGAAAGCGUGGGGAGCAAACAGG